rnacentral:rRNA from 1 species
AUUGAACGCUGGCGGCAUGCCUUACACAUGCAAGUCGAACGGUAGAGGGGCAACCCUCGAGAGUGGCGAACGGGUGAGUAAUGCAUCGGAACGUGCCCAGUCGUGGGGGAUAACGUAGCGAAAGCUACGCUAAUACCGCAUACGACCCGAGGGUGAAAGCGGGGGACUCGCAAGGGCCUCGCGCGAUUGGAGCGGCCGAUGUCAGAUUAGGUAGUUGGUGGGGUAAAGGCCUACCAAGCCGACGAUCUGUAGCUGGUCUGAGAGGACGACCAGCCACACUGGGACUGAGACACGGCCCAGACUCCUACGGGAGGCAGCAGUGGGGAAUUUUGGACAAUGGGCGCAAGCCUGAUCCAGCCAUGCCGCGUGCGGGAAGAAGGCCUUCGGGUUGUAAACCGCUUUUGUCAGGGAAGAAAUCUUCUGGGUUAAUACCUCGGGAGGAUGACGGUACCUGGAGAAUAAGCACCGGCUAACUACGUGCCAGCAGCCGCGGUAACAC